rnacentral:rRNA from 1 species
CGAUACUUGGUGUGAAUUGCAGAAUUCAGUGAAUCAUCGAAUCUUUGAACGCACCUUGCGCUCCUUGGUAUUCUGAGGAGCAUGCCUGUUUGAGUGUCAUUAAAUUUCUCAAUCCUCCUUUUUGUCUCAAUUGGAUAAAAUGGGUUGGCUUUGGACUUAUGGGAGUUGCAGGCUUAUUUAUAAAAGUCAGCUCUUCUAAAAAGUAUUAGCUUGAACAUGUUUUGAGAACUUGAAAGUCUAGCAAUUUGGUGUGAUAAUUAUCUACGCCAUUUGCUUAAAUCUCUAUUGAACUGUUUAGCUUCAAACACGUCCUGGUCUUUUUAGACUUAUUACUUUUGAUAAUUUGACCUCAAAUCAGGUAGGACUACCCGCUGAACUUAAGCAUAUCAAUAAGCGGAGGAAUACAUAUUUUAUCAUCCAGUUGCUUAAACAACUUGAAUCCUCCCCUAAAACAUCUUUGACAUGCUAGAUAUUAAUUGUGAACCCCUCUAUUC